UUUGAUCCUGGCUCAGGACGAACGCUGGCGGCGCGCCUAACACAUGCAAGUCGAACGAGCGAGAGAGAGCUUGCCUUCUCGAGCGAGUGGCGAACGGGUGAGUAACGCGUGAGGAACCUGCCUCAAAGAGGGGGACAACAGUUGGAAACGACUGCUAAUACCGCAUAAGCCCACGGCUCGGCAUCGAGCAGAGGGAAAAGGAGCAAUCCGCUUUGAGAUGGCCUCGCGUCCGAUUAGCUAGUUGGUGAGGUAAUGGCCCACCAAGGCGACGAUCGGUAGCCGGACUGAGAGGUUGAACGGCCACAUUGGGACUGAGACACGGCCCAGACUCCUACGGGAGGCAGCAGUGGGGAAUAUUGCACAAUGGGGGAAACCCUGAUGCAGCGACGCCGCGUGGAGGAAGAAGGUCUUCGGAUUGUAAACUCCUGUUGUUGAGGAAGAUAAUGACGGUACUCAACAAGGAAGUGACGGCUAACUACGUGCCAGCAGCCGCGGUAAAACGUAGGUCACAAGCGUUGUCCGGAAUUACUGGGUGUAAAGGGAGCGCAGGCGGGAAGACAAGUUGGAAGUGAAAUCCAUGGGCUCAACCCAUGAACUGCUUUCAAAACUGUUUUUCUUGAGUAGUGCAGAGGUAGGCGGAAUUCCCGGUGUAGCGGUGGAAUGCGUAGAUAUCGGGAGGAACACCAGUGGCGAAGGCGGCCUACUGGGCACCAACUGACGCUGAGGCUCGAAAGUGUGGGUAGCAAACAGGAUUAGAUACCCUGGUAGUCCACACUGUAAACGAUGAUUACUAGGUGUUGGAGGAUUGACCCCUUCAGUGCCGCAGUUAACACAAUAAGUAAUCCACCUGGGGAGUACGACCGCAAGGUUGAAACUCAAAGGAAUUGACG
rnacentral:rRNA from 1 species